ensembl:lncRNA
GGCGUUAAUAGCAGAAAUCAGUCCCAUAGAUAUGGGCCAUCUCCACCUGCUACAUUGUUCAGAAGGUUGUUAUCAUCCAUCCAGAUGGAGGAUCACUAACAGGAGCGUGGGAAGACUCCAGAAUCCACUCUGGGUGGAAUCCGGUGGAUACAGCAGUGUUACAGUUCCUCAGGUACAGUACGUGAUAUUAAGGACAGCGGUCAUCACCGGGGGAAGACAAGAAGCAGACGUACUUCCAAGAGGGAGCUGCAGUGAGGACACAGCCUGAUCACUGAGCAGACAAAGCUGAUGGCAGAAGAUGUUUGGAGAAGAACUUCAGGCCGUGUACUGAAAAGGUAUUUUUUUCUUGUUAUCAAAAGACAUUUGGAGUGACGGCUUCUACAACUGUGCUGAUGUAAAGCUUACUGUCUAAGAAGUCACAGUGUUGAUAUUCAGCACAAAGAGAAAAGCUCACUAGUUUGAAUUUAUUUACAAUCAUAGUUUUAUAAAUUCUGACUGUAAACAGCUUUUACAGCUUUGAUAUUGUUUGACACUCGAUAUCAGGUGAUGGGAUUUAAUUUAAAGGUUUCUCUGUCCCAAUGAGCCAUUUACACUGACCAGUGUUUCACUUGAACUGUAACACAUUCAUUAUUUAGAUCCAACAUUUCUGAGAGAAACAACUGAAUGUAAAAAGUGGCAGCCCUCAGGCCAGGUUUAAUUGAUAGAGAUAUAUGCAUGCAUUAUGAAAUUUAUGUAUCCCAGAUAAUUGUUAUUCAUCUAGCCCUGACAGACCCACCUCUUCCUCCCAAGUUAACUACAACCCAAAAGAACUAGUGGGGGUAUUUACACACUCACAACUAGUGUGGGGUAAAAAGAGCCACCAAAAACCUGUCAGCCUGCACAGCUACAGAUGUGCUAGAAGCUAUAAGAGUUAGAAGCUCUGCUUAUCGAGAAACUUUCUAAGCCUUACAGGGGACAGGUACUCCAGCCCAAAUAACAUGAUAUCACCCCACAUACAGCCCAGCCAUAAAGUGAACCAAGUCAUUUAGUUAAAGACAGCAUGGGACCAAAUGCAUGUAACCAGCCUGCAUCAACCUGACAUUUCUUCCUCCUGAAUUAAAUGAAUGAAUGGAUGAAAGUUAAAUGACUACAAACCUAAAGCCGCUAGUUCCCACACUGGAGUUCCCUGACACUGUGUUUUAACUGUAUUUAGCUUGUAUUAACAGUUGUAACAGGGUAAGCUACCUGAGACACUGCAUUGAACGAUUGUUUCUAUCUUAAUGGUUUCAGCUCAGAUGUUCUGCUUUUUCCUUUCAGUAGAUCAAAGCAGCUCGUGCUCUGUCUGCUUCCAUUUUGAUGGCAAGAAGAAGUUGCGUUCAUGGUCUCAGUGGACAGUCAUGGUCACACACUGCAUGUGGUUUUAAAAGCAACAUGUCUGUUCACCAUAACAAUGGAGAUGUGUAAUAUUAGUGCAGCUACGGUUUGUUCUUGAACAUCAGUUCUGUUUUCUACUUUGACCACUUAGACCAAAAAAGUGUUGUUUUCAGAUCCUUUCUUUUAAAUCUAUAAAGCACCUGUUCAUUUUUUAUUACAAUUAGUUUCACAUAAAUGUUAGUGUUUCCUUUAUGAUCUUUUAAUGCUUACACUACACUGUACACGUCUACAUUAGAGACAUUUCUGUUAUCUAUGUAUGAGACUGGGCUGCUUGACUACAAUUUGGAAGUGGAUGCAAAAUCACACGGAUCGUGCUAUUGUUUGUUUUUUUAAUACGAUGGACUGAACGCAGGAGGUAUCUGACUAAGCAAAGAUUAAUCUGAUCCCAUUUCUACCUGUCUCUACUGUUUCAACUGUAACUGUCAGGAUAUAUAUUUAUUCCAGCUCUCAUAGGGCAAAGGAAUGACUCAGACUUGUUAAAUGUUCUUUGAUUAGAUACACAAUAUGAAGUUCACAAUUUUCUUACAAUUAAAACUAUAAUGACAA